UUGAACGCUGGCGGCAUGCCUUACACAUGCAAGUCGAACGGCAGCACGGGGGCAACCCUGGUGGCGAGUGGCGAACGGGUGAGUAAUACAUCGGAACGUGUCCUGUAGUGGGGGAUAGCCCGGCGAAAGCCGGAUUAAUACCGCAUACGCUCUACGGAGGAAAGGGGGGGAUCUUAGGACCUCCCGCUACAGGGGCGGCCGAUGGCAGAUUAGCUAGUUGGUGGGGUAAAGGCCUACCAAGGCGACGAUCUGUAGCUG
rnacentral:rRNA from 7 species